UACAGAGGUCUCAAGCGUUGUUCGGAAUCACUGGGCGUAAAGGGUGCGUAGGCGGCGCUGUAAGUCAGGAGUGAAAGUUUGCGGCUCAACCGUAAAAUUGCUUUUGAUACUGCGGUGCUGGAAUUAGGAUGAGGUCAGCGGAAUGUGGCAUGUAGCGGUGAAAUGCAUAGAUAUGCCAUAGAACACCAAUUGCGAAGGCAGCUGGCUAGACCUGGAUUGACGCUGAGGCACGAAAGCGUGGGGAGCGAACAGG
rnacentral:rRNA from 1 species